AUUGAACGCUGUCGGCAGGCCUCACACAUGCAAGUCGAGCGAGCGGCCGACUGGUGAGUAAUGUAUGCGGCCUGCCCGCUCGAGGGGGAUAACUACUGGAACCGGUAGCUAAUACCUCAUACUAUCGGCUAACCCCUAUGGGAUUAGCUAGUAGGUUAGGUAAUUGCUCACCUAGGCGACGAUCCCUAGCUGGUCUGAGAGGAGGAUCAGCCACACUGGGACUGAGACACGGCCCAGACUCCGACGGAGGCAGCAGUGGGGAAUAUUGCAAAAUGGGCGAAAGCCUGAUGCAGCCAUGCCGCGUGGAUGAAGAAGGCCCUAGGGUUGUAAAGUACUUUCAGGCGGGAGGCGUUACCGACAGAAGAAGCACCGGCUAACUCAGUGCCAGCAGCCGCGGUAAUAC
rnacentral:rRNA from 1 species